AAGUCGUAACAAGGUUUCCGUAGGUGAACCUGCGGAAGGAUCAUUAACGAAGUCUGGGGCCUCGGCCCUCUCUCUUCUACACACCUGUGAACAUACCCUGUUGCUUUGGCAGGUUUCCGGCGGACGGCUCCGAGCCGGUUUCGUCGGUCAGGCCGCAAGGCGCCUGCCAGAGACACUUUAUCCAACCUUUUCCUUUUGUCUGACUAUAGUUUAUUACAAACGUAACAAA
rnacentral:misc_RNA from 1 species